rnacentral:tRNA from 1 species
GGGGAUGUAGCUUGGUGGUAGAGCACUUGCCUAGCAUGCAGCAAGCCUUGGAUCCAUCUCCA